GACGAACGCUGGCGGCGUGCUUAACACAUGCAAGUCGAACGGAAAGGCCCUGCUUUUGUGGGGUGCUCGAGUGGCGAACGGGUGAGUAACACGUGAGUAACCUGCCCUUGACUUUGGGAUAACUUCAGGAAACUGGGGCUAAUACCGGAUAGGAGCUCCUGCUGCAGGGUGGGGGUUGGAAAGUUUCGGCGGUUGGGGAUGGACUCGCGGCUUAUCAGCUUGUUGGUGGGGUAGUGGCUUACCAAGGCUUUGACGGGUAGCCGGCCUGAGAGGGUGACCGGCCACAUUGGGACUGAGAUAGGGCCCAGACUCCUACGGGAGGCAGCAGUGGGGAAUAUUGCACAAUGGGCGGAAGCCUGAUGCAGCAACGCCGCGUGCGGGAUGACGGCCUUCGGGUUGUAAACCGCUUUCGCCUGUGACGAAGCGUGAGUGACGGUAAUGGGUAAAGAAGCACCGGCUAACUACGUG
rnacentral:rRNA from 1 species